AGCAGCCGCGGUAAUUCCAGCUCCAAUAGCGUAUAUUAAAGUUGUUGCAGUUAAAAAGCUCGUAGUUGAAUUUCGGGGUUAGUAGGUUGGUCAUGCCUCUGGUAUGUACUGGUCUCACUGAUUCCUCCUUCCUGAUGAACCUUAAUGCCAUUAAUUUGGUGUUUUGGGGAAUUUGGACUGUUACUUUGAAAAAAUUAGAGUGUUUAAAGCAAGCUAACGCUUGAAUACAUUAGCAUGGAAUAAUGAAAUAGGACGUUCGAUCCUAUUUUGUUGGUUUCUAGGAUUGACGUAAUGAUUAAUAGGGAUAGUUGGGGGCAUUAGUAUUCAAUUGUCAGAGGUGAAAUUCUUGGAUUUAUUGAAGACUAACUACUGCGAAAGCAUUUGCCAAGGAUGUUUUCAUUAAUCAAGAACGAAAGUUAGGGGAUCGAAGACGAUCAGAUACCGUCGUAGUCUUAACCAUAAACUAUGCCGACUAGGGAUCGGGAUGAUGUUUAAUUUUUAAUGACUCAUUCGGCGCCUU
rnacentral:rRNA from 1 species